rnacentral:ncRNA from 1 species
UGAAAAUCCGAGCGACGCCUGGUAAAUCUCGUACUUGGUCGUACUGAUAUCCGCAGCAGGUCUCCAAGGUGAAUAGCCUCUGGCCGAUAGAAUAAUGUAGGUAAGGGAAGUCGGCAAAACGGAUCCGUAACUUCGGAACAAGGAUUGGCUCUAAGGGCUGGGCCGAUCGGGCUGAGGUUUCAAGCGUGCAGUGUAUGCUUGGCUUAGUUGUGUUGAGGACUUGUUCACUUGCCACCGGUUGUUCGGCUGGUCGAGUGUAUUCGAGUCUGAAGCAGAGCUGGCCGACAGACCGGCACGUGCAGA